ACCUCCCUUAUUAGCACAGAGUAGUAUAGUGCAUGUUCUUGUGCUACCAGACAGUACUUGUGCAUUGCUAGACUCCUUUCCCCCAUUUAGAUCGACUGAUUUCCACCUUGAAAGGCUGUACCACUGCACAGCCUCCCACUUCACCACUGUGGCUGCAUUUAGUCCCAUUGGAAAAUGCAGAUUGAUAAAAGAUGUUCUUGUUUUGGAGCACCUGCUAUAACCAUGUAAACAGACUGCCAGAAGAAGUCUGGGAGCUCAGCCAUAGGGAAAAAUGGAGGAGUAUACCCCACCAUCAGGAAAGCAAAUUCUUUAGAUGAAGUGUUAUGAAUGGAAGAUGAAAUGGCACAUGCUGAACACCUCCAGCACCCUCUACUGCUCCUCACAGGAUCUGUGCUCCAGACCCUUCACCAGCUCUGUUCUACUCGCUCCAGUGCCUUGAUGUCUUUCUUGUCAUGAAGGGCCCAGAACUGAAGACAGGACUCGAGGUGUGGCUUCACCAAUGCCCAGUGCCGUGGAACUGUGCUUUGUAUUCGCAUUUUUUAGCUACAGACGUAUGUUACCACAUGUGGUUUCUGGGCUUGCAAAGUGUUUCUGCCGCAUUUCAGAGUGUGAGCCAAAAAUGCUACUGCUUUGCCUUGCCUUCAAAGUUCAGCAUUAGGAUUUAAGGAAACAACAGCAGAGUAUGUAGCAUAUAAAAUGUUUUGGUAGCUAUUGAAACUAAAGCAAGAAAUAGAAAAUUAAAGUGAUGAAAUGCAAAGAAUCCAAAGACUCACCAAAUCCUUGCUGAGAGAUAAAGACUGCUUCCACUUGAGUUUCAGAUAGUCAUAUGUUUGUCUGAAAAAUGGAUGUGAAUAAUGAGACCUUGUUUAUCUUCCGUAGGCCAUAAGCAUCUUUCCUGUUAGUAGCACUGCAGAAGCUGUUCCAGCCACUGUGCAGGUUUGUGGAAAUUGUGUGUGGGUCUUGUGUGCACACAUACAUGAUGAUGUAAGUUUGCUAUGGUAUGGUAGGUAUUGGUCUUUGAAUUUAUAUUGGGUGAAGGCAACAAUUGUCUUUUGUGUUCACUGCUAUUUUUUGCCAAUAUUUAAAAAUUUAGAAAACCCUUGCAUUUCACCACUGUCUGUAGAAUUGGGGCAGCAUAUUAGCUAUGAAAAAUAAAAGACACAGAAAAAAAUCUUGUGAAAUCACUCCUUUGAACCUGAAAUAAAAACAUUGUUAUGCCCAGAGAUUAAUUAUGAAUAAUCGGAUUCUGACUUUAAUCUGUUCAGUUAAGGGGGGAAGCAUAGAUGAGUUGAGGAGGAAUAUUUUUCCAUCUUAAAAUGAUCAAAGUAUUUUUGUAUAUUUGCAGAA